CUCUCGUUUAUGGGCAAAGAGCAAAGCAUUGUGGGCCUGUUCGGGUAGCCGUUGAGAGUGGAGAGUUGGUUCCACGUAUUGAAAGAUUUCGGAGUUGCACAAUCACGUAGAAGAAACCAAUUGAAGGGCCUGCCGAUGGGAAACACAGGAAGCAGGCUCAAUAAAACACCAAGCAAACAUCCUCACAAGACCAAAUGGAAGCUUAAGAUUCACGCAGACAGAGCAAUAAACGCCAGAUGAAGGCAAUAGCCUCAGGUGUAAAAACGGAAGAAAGUUCAAACAACAAAACACCACGUGGGAGCCUCAAAGGAAGGAGGAAAGCUCAGACAGGUCCUAGAGAGUCCAAAUGGUGUUUUGAUUGAAUAACGUGUAAUCUGGGAAAUUCUGGAGUAAUUGCUUACUUGAAUUAUUUUGAUAAACAACUGAUCAAAGUA